rnacentral:rRNA from 1 species
UACUCCUACGGGAGGCAGCAGUGGGGAAUCUUCCGCAAUGGACGAAAGUCUGACGGAGCAACGCCGCGUGAGUGAUGACGGCCUUCGGGUUGUAAAGCUCUGUUAAUCGGGACGAAAGGCCUUCUUGCGAAUAGUGAGAAGGAUUGACGGUACCGGAAUAGAAAGCCACGGCUAACUACGUGCCAGCAGCCGCGGUAAUACGUAGGUGGCAAGCGUUGUCCGGAAUUAUUGGGCGUAAAGCGCGCGCAGGCGGAUAGGUCAGUCUGUCUUAAAAGUUCGGGGCUUAACCCCGUGAUGGGAUGGAAACUGCCAAUCUAGAGUAUCGGAGAGGAAAGUGGAAUUCCUAGUGUAGCGGUGAAAUGCGUAGAUAUUAGGAAGAACACCAGUGGCGAAGGCGACUUUCUGGACGAAAACUGACGCUGAGGCGCGAAAGCCAGGGGAGCGAACGGGAUUAGAUACCCCGGUAGUCCUGGCCGUAAACGAUGGGUACUAGGUGUAGGAGGUAUCGACCCCUUCUGUGCCGGAGUUAACGCAAUAAGUACCCCGCCUGGGGAGUACGACCGCAAGGUUGAAACUCAAAGGAAUUGACGG